AAGCCUGUGGAAAGGGCAAAGUCUUAACAAAUCUUUAUAACGCUCCCACGCAUCAAACAAGGGCUCUCCUUCUUUUUUCCUAAAUUUGUUAAUCCCAUUCCUAACUU